rnacentral:rRNA from 1 species
UGAGGAAUAUUGGUCAAUGGUCGCAAGACUGAACCAGCCGUGCCGCGUGCAGGAAGACGGUCCUAUGGAUUGUAAACUGCUUUUAUACAGGAAGAAACCCUCCCACGUGUGGGAGCUUGACGGUACUGUAGGAAUAAGGAUCGGCUAACUCCGUGCCAGCAGCCGCGGUAAUACGGAGGAUCCAAGCGUUAUCCGGAAUCAUUGGGUUUAAAAGGGUCCGUAGGCGGUCUUAUAAGUCAGUGGUGAAAGCCCAUCGCUCAACGAUGGAACUGCCAUUGAUACUGUAAGACUUGAAUGCUUAGGAAGUAACUAGAAUAUGUAGUGUAGCGGUGAAAUGCUUAGAUAUUACAUGGAAUACCAAUUGCGAAGGCAGGUUACUACUAAGUGAUUGACGCUGAUGGACGAAAGCGUGGGGAGCGAACAGGAUUAGAUACCCUGGUAGUCCACGCCGUAAACGAUGGAUACUAGCUGUUCGGCGCAAGUUGAGUGGCUAAGCGAAAGUGAUAAGUAUCCCACCUGGGGAGUACGCACGCAAGUGUGAAACUCAAAGGAAUUGACGGGGUCAUAGCUGUUUCCUG